rnacentral:rRNA from 1 species
CGCAUCUGUGCAUGCAGCAUAUCAAUAAGCGGAGGAAAAGAAACUAACAAGGAUUCCCCUAGUAACGGCGAGUGAAGCGGGAAGAGCUCAAAUUUGAAAUCUUAAAGGGUUUCCCUUUACGAAUUGUAGUUUAAAGAAGUGUUUUCUGUUGAGGUUUUGGUAAAAGUCUUUGGAAUAGGACAUCAUAGAGGGUGAGAAUCCCGUAUUUGACCUUUACUUUCAACUUUGUGAUACACUUUCAAAGAGUCGGAUUGUUUGGGAAUGCAGUCCAAAAUGGGUGGUAAAUUUCAUCUAAAGCUAAAUAUUGGCGAGAGACCGAUAGCGAACAAGUACCGUGAGGGAAAGAUGAAAAGAACUUUGAAAAGAGAGUUAAACAGUACGUGAAAUUGUCAAAAGGGGAAGCGUUUGACACCAGUGUUGUUUUUCUGAAAAUCAAUUAAAGAACUGUUUAUGCUAAGCUGUUUAGACUUUAUCAGCUAACUGUUUAGUUUUGAGCUUUUCUUUAAUGCACUUUUCAGUUAACAAGUCAACAUCAAUUUCUUUUGCUGUAAAAAAGCUUGAGGAAGGUGGCUUGAGAUUCGUCUUAAGUGUUUAUAGCCUCUUGCCUAUGCAGUCGGAGAGAUUGAGGUCUGCAGCGUAGAUCCUUCGGGGCUAAAUGCAUUUGUGCUAAGUUAUAGCAUUUUAUAGACAACUUGUUGACUAUGAUUUGUCUUGUAGCUUACUCGCUUAUGUUAUUUUACCUACGCUUAGGAUGUUGAGUCAUCACACAUCUCU